UCAGCCGCCCCGAGGAGAUGCCACGCCGUGGACAGCGCGGCGCUGGUCGCCGUGAAGGCGGCCUUCAACAACGCCUCCUACUUCGCUUCCUGGACGCCGGACAUCCCGUGCUGUGCCUGGCCCGGCGUCGACUGCGAAGGCUCCACGGGCCGCGUCGUCAGCCUUGACAUCCUGCUGGACGAUGGCGUCGCCGGCCCCGUGCCCGGCCACGCCAUCGCAGGGCUCACCCGCCUGCGGAGCCUCGAGGUUUACAAGCUCCCCGGCGUGUCCGGCGCCAUCCCCGCGGCGCUCGCCAGGCUCUCGGGGCUGCUCGACCUCACCAUCUCGCAGAGCGGCGUCUCGGGCCCCGUGUCAUCCUUCCUUGCGCGCUCCCGGAGCUCCAGUCGCUGGAUCUCUCCGGCAACUCGCUCACGGGCGGGCUCCAUCCCGCCGUCGUUCUCCGCGGCCCCGCGCCUCGACGGCAUCUAUCUCAACGACAACCGCCUCGUACGUCGGCAGCGUCCCGCCGCUGCUCGAUCUUCCAGCGCCGGGCACCUGGCGUUCCUCGACCUCUCCCACAACAACCUGUCCGGCAGCAUCCCGGCCGACUUCUUGGCCGUGCGCUUCGUGCUGAUCGACCUGUCGUGCAACCGGCUCACCGGCGACGCCUCGGUGCUGUUCGGCCCCGGCCCCGGGAGCACGGAGCUGGUCAGCGUCAACCUGUGGCCCAACGCGUUCAGCUUCGACAUGUCCCGGGUGCACCUGACGGACCGGCUGGCCUCGCUCGACGUCAGCCACAACAGGAUGUACGGCCGCUCCCGGCGGGGCGCUGGUGGCGAAUCUGACCGACCUGCAGUCUUCGACGUUAGCUACAACCGGCUCUGCGGUGCGGUGCCGGACGGCGUGGCGGCGAGGUUCGAUGUCCACAGCUUCGAGCACAACAGAUGUCUCUGCGGUGCUCCGCUCCCGAAUCCAUGC
rnacentral:rRNA from 1 species